rnacentral:rRNA from 1 species
AGCAGCCGCGGUAAUUCCAGCUCCAAUAGCGUAUAUUAAAGUUGUUGCAGUUAAAAAGCUCGUAGUUGAAUUUCGGGAUCAGUAAGCCGGUCGUACCUUCGGUAUGUACUGGUGUCACUGAUUCCUCCCUUCUGAUGAACCGUUAUACCAUUUAGUUGGUGUGGCGGGGAAUCAGGACUGUUACUUUGAAAAAAUUAGAGUGUUUAAAGCAAGCUCGCGCUUGAAUACAUUAGCAUGGAAUAAUAAAAUAGGACGUUUGAUCUCCUAUUUUGUUGGUUUCUAGGAUCGACGUAAUGAUUAAUAGGGAUAGUUGGGGGCAUUAGUAUUCAAUUGUCAGAGGUGAAAUUCUUGAAUUUAUUGAAGACUAACUACUGCGAAAGCAUUUGCCAAGGAUGUUUUCAUUAAUCAAGAACGAAAGUUAGGGGAUCGAAGACG